rnacentral:rRNA from 1 species
CGCGUAGGCGGCGGACCGAGUCGAGUGUGAAAGCCCCGGGCUCAACCUGGGAGGUGCGCUCGAGACUGGCCCGCUGGAGUUCGGGAGAGGAGCGUGGAAUUCCCAGUGUAGAGGUGAAAUUCGUAGAUAUUGGGAAGAACACCGGUGGCGAAGGCGGCGCUCUGGACCGAGACUGACGCUGAGGCGCGAAAGCGUGGGGAGCAAACAGGAUUAGAUACCCUGGUAGUCCACGCUGUAAACGAUGUGUGCUAGACGUUGGGGAGCGCAGCUCUUCGGUGUCGCCGCAAACGCUUUAAGCACACCGCCUGGGGAGUACGGCCGCAAGGUUAAA